AUUGGGGGCUGCCUUACCAUGCAGUCGAACGGCAGCACGGGUGCUUGCACCUGGUGGCGAGUGGCGAACGGGUGAGUAAUACAUCGGAAUGUACCUUGUAGUGGGGGAUAGCUCGGCGAAAGCCGGAUUAAUACCGCAUACGCUCUGAGGAGGAAAGCGGGGGACCUUCGGGCCUCGUGCUACAAGAGCAGCCGAUGUCAGAUUAGCUAGUUGGUGGGGUAAAAGCUCACCAAGGCGACGAUCUGUAGCUGGUCUGAGAGGACGACCAGCCACACUGGGACUGAGACACGGCCCAGACUCCUACGGGAGGCAGCAGUGGGGAAUUUUGGACAAUGGGCGAAAGCCUGAUCCAGCAAUGCCGCGUGUGUGAAGAAGGCCUUCGGGUUGUAAAGCACUUUUGUCCGGAAAGAAAUCCUUUGGGUUAAUACCUCGGGGGGAUGACGGUACCGGAAGAAUAAGCACCGGCUAACUACGUGCCAGACC
rnacentral:rRNA from 1 species